UCGAUUGUUGCGCUUUUCUCACUCUUGAACACACAAAGUAAAUCUAGAUCUAGAUUUUCCGGUUAACAUUGAUUUUAAUCGCUGGGUUGGGGCUUACAAAGGGGAGGCAGUGGUGAGCUUCUUUUCUCUCCGGCGGCGGUGAGGUGUGGAACUCCCGUUGGCGUUGCGGUUGUGGCGGUUUCACGACGAUCUUGAGGGGUUUCGCCAUCGGUUUUCUCUGUUUGAGGACGUCAAAAGAAUCGAUUGAAGCCUCUCUUUUGGCUCACCUGUUCGUGGAUUAGCUGCAACUUGCGGUGGAAGUCGUCAGCGGGAUGGAGGGUUGCGUCGCUUGUCUUGGUGGUUUACGGCGGAUUCAAUGAAUCUGUGAUGGCUGCUCGCGGAUUUAGGGCUGUUGAAGGAAGGAUUGAGUCACUGUCCCUCUCAGCUGCCGCAUUUAGUUUCCACCGGACCGGAUUUGAGGAUUGUUUGUCUCGGAGAAGGUUUCGUUGGUGGUCGUCCUUGUUGUUUUUGGUUUGCUAGGUAGGGGAAUCAAAGAUGGGGUACUGGUCUGUCGGAGAUUGGACUUAUUCCGGGAAGUUUGGUGCGGGUUCUGGUUUGUUGGCGGCAACGAUUCGGCGACGGAACCGAAUACUCCGGCAAGGAGCUUGUUAAUGCCGUUGCACUCGACCUUGUAUUCGUCGGUAUUGGUUGGUCGUAAUAUCUGCUUCCAGCCACCGCCAGGUUAAGAUCAAUUCCGUCGAUGAGUCUCCGAUUUGCUUUUUCCUUUUUGUAGCUGCUGAAAUUUUGUAAGGCCUCGGCCUAGAAAUCCAUUUUGGGAUGUGAAUUAAACUUUUUAGUAUCAAAAAAAUAAUGUAAAGGUCAAAUGCAUGUAUAGUAAUGCAAAAAAAUGAAAUCACAUCUUCGACAAUUUUGAGAAUUUAGUUCAUGGAGAAAAUGAGAAAGACCAAUAUUUUUACAUGGAUUGAUUGAAACACUUUAUAAACCACAAAUAUAAAAGUA
rnacentral:lncRNA from 1 species